rnacentral:lncRNA from 1 species
GGCAAAGGGCCUCUGAGGGAGUAUUACAGCCGCCUCAUCCACCAGAAGCAUUUCCAGCACAUCCAGGUCUGCACCCCCUGGCUGGAGGGCCGAGGACUACCCCCGCUUCUAGGUUAGUGGACCUGGGUGUCUCUCUGGACACAUCCUCCAGUGGCCUGGACCUGCCCAUGAAGGUGGUGGACAUGUUCAGGUGCUGUUUGCCUGCGUGUGCCGUGAACUUCAAGUGGCAUGAGCUGGUGAAACAUAAAGAAAAUGGCCUGGUCUUUGAGGACUCAGAGGAACUGGCAGCUCAGCUGCAUGCUUUUCUCAAACUCUCCUGAUCCUGCAGGCAAGCUAAACCAGUUCCAGAAGAACCUGCGGGAGUCGCAGCAGCUCUGAUGGGAUGAGAGCUGGGUGCAGACUAUGCUCCCUUUGGUUAUGGACA